UACGGAGGGUGCAAACGUUGCUCGGAAUCAUUGGGCGUAAAGCGCACGUAGGCGGACCAUCAAGUCGGAUGUGAAAUCCCUCGGCUUAACCGAGGACGUGCAUUCGAAACUGAUGGCCUUGAGUACGAAAGAGGAUCGCGGAAUUCCCGGUGUAGAGGUGAAAUUCGUAGAUAUCGGGAGGAACACCAGUGGCGAAGGCGGCGAUCUGGGUCGAUACUGACGCUGAGGUGCGAAAGCGUGGGGAGCAAACAGG
rnacentral:rRNA from 1 species